UCCUUCUUUUCUUCUAAAUACAAAUUAGGGAACAGCCAGGUCACUCAUCAAAAAUCUUUUUAUCAAACAAUUAGUUGGUGUCAUCUGUAUAAACUUGUAGCUGGUUUGGCAUAAUGUUGGUGGUUUUUGUGAUUAAUUGAUUACUCCUCCUUUUCUUCCAUCACACUGGCCUGCUGUUUGGGUAAUGUUGCUUGGUUCAACCCAGCCUGGAUGCCAGUGUACCUAAGGCAAAGGAGACCCUGACACUUUUCUUGCCUUCUUGCCACUGGGGCCUUCCAGCCAAAUCAGAAGAUUGAUGGCUGAAAGGCCUUUGACAUCACUUCUAGUUUCUGUCCUCCUGGACCCACCUCUUCCACUUGCUCAGCCCCAUAAUCUCCUCCACUGCCGUCUGGAGGCAAUCAGCAGAAGAUUCAAGUCUGAAAAGACAUUCUGCUUGAAUUGUGUGUUAUUUGUUUUGUUGUUUUGUCCACCAAUUACACUCUUUACAAUUUC